rnacentral:rRNA from 1 species
UACGAACUGUGCAAACGUUAUUCGGAAUCACUGGGCUUAAAGGGUGCGUAGGCGGCUGUCUAAGUAGGGUGUGAAAGCCCCCGGCUCAACCGGGGAAUUGCGCCCUAAACUGGAUGGCUGGAGUGAGACAGGGGUGUGUGGAACUUCCGGUGGAGCGGUGAAAUGUGUUGAUAUCGGAAGGAACGCCGGUGGCGAAAGCGACACACUGGGUCUCAACUGACGCUGAGGCACGAAAGCGUGGGGAGCGAACCGG